GACGAACGCUGGCGGCGUGCUUAACACAUGCAAGUCGAACGGAAAGGCCCCGCUCUUGUGGGGUGCUCGAGUGGCGAAAGGGUGAGUAACACGUGAGUAACCUGCCCUUGACUUUGGGAUAACUUCAGGAAACUGGGGCUAAUACCGGAUAGGAGCUCCUGCUGCAUGGGGGGGGUUGGAAAGUUUGGGCGGUUGGGGAUGGACUCGCGGCUUAUCAGCUUGUUGGUGGGGUAGUGGCUUACCAAGGCUUUGACGGGUAGCCGGCCUGAGAGGGUGACCGGCCACAUUGGGACUGAGAUACGGCCCAGACUCCUACGGGAGGCAGCAGUGGGGAAUAUUGCACAAUGGGCGGAAGCCUGAUGCAGCAACGCCGCGUGCGGGAUGACGGCCUUCGGGUUGUAAACCGCUUUCGCCUGUGACGAAGCGUGAGUGACGGUAAUGGGUAAAGAAGCACCGGCUAACUACGUG
rnacentral:rRNA from 1 species